UACGUAGGGGGCAAGCGUUGUCCGGAUUUAUUGGGCGUAAAGAGCGUGUAGGCGGCCAGGUAGGUCUGCUGUGAAAACUCGAGGCUUAACCUCGAGCUGUCGGCGGAAACCAUCUGGCUAGAGUCCGGAAGAGGAGAAUGGAAUUCCCGGUGUAGCAGUGAAAUGCGUAGAUAUGUGGAGGAACACCGAUGGCGAAGGCAGCCCCCUGGGUCAAGACUGACGCUCAUGCACGAAAGCGUGGGGAGCAAACAGG
rnacentral:rRNA from 1 species